UUUUCGGCUAUCACUUUAGGAUGGACCCGCGGUGCAUUAGUUAGUUGGUGAGGUAAAGGCUCACCAAGACCGUGAUGCAUAGCCGACCUGAGAGGGUAAUCGGCCACACUGGGACUGAGACACGGCCCAGACUCCUACGGGAGGCAGCAGUAGGGAAUCUUCCACAAUGGACGAAAGUCUGAUGGAGCAACGCCGCGUGAGUGAAGAAGGUUUUCGGAUCGUAAAACUCUGUUGUUGGAGAAGAAUGUAUCUGAUAGUAACUGAUCAGGUAGUGACGGUAUCCAACCAGAAAGCCACGGCUAACUACGUGCCAGCAGCCGCGGUAAUACGUAGGUGGCAAGCGUUGUCCGGAUUUAUUGGGCGUAAAGCGAGCGCAGGCGGUUUCUUAAGUCUGAUGUGAAAGCCUUCGGCUCAACCGAAGAAGUGCAUCGGAAACUGGGAAACUUGAGUGCAGAAGAGGACAGUGGAACUCCAUGUGUAGCGGUGAAAUGCGUAGAUAUAUGGAAGAACACCAGUGGCGAAGGCGGCUGUCUGGUCUGUAACUGACGCUGAGGCUCGAAAGCAUGGGUAGCAAACAGGAUUAGAUACCCUGGUAGUCCAUGCCGUAAACGAUGAGUGCUAGGUGUUGGAGGGUUUCCGCCCUUCAGUGCCGCAGCUAACGCAUUAAGCACUCCGCCUGGGGAGUACGACCGCAAGGUUGAAACUCAAAGGAAUUGACGGGGGCCCGCACAAGCGGUGGAGCAUGUGGUUUAAUUCGAAGCAACGCGAAGAACCUUACCAGGUCUUGACAUCCUUUGACCACUCUAGAGAUAGAGCUUUCCCUUCGGGGACAAAGUGACAGGUGGUGCAUGGUUGUCGUCAGCUCGUGUCGUGAGAUGUUGGGUUAAGUCCCGCAACGAGCGCAACCCUUAUUACUAGUUGCCAGCAUUUAGUUGGGCACUCUAGUGAGACUGCCGGUGACAAACCGGAGGAAGGUGGGGACGACGUCAAAUCAUCAUGCCCCUUAUGACCUGGGCUACACACGUGCUACAAUGGAUGGUACAACGAGUUGCGAGACCGCGAGGUUUAGCUAAUCUCUUAAAACCAUUCUCAGUUCGGAUUGUAGGCUGCAACUCGCCUACAUGAAGCCGGAAUCGCUAGUAAUCGCGGAUCAGCAUGCCGCGGUGAAUACGUUCCCGGGCCUUGUACACACCGCCCG
rnacentral:rRNA from 1 species